rnacentral:rRNA from 1 species
UACGUAGGCAGCGAGCGUUGUUCGGAAUUACUGGGCGUAAAGAGUGUGUAGGCGGUGCUCUAAGUUCGGUGUGAAAUCUCCCGACUUAACUGGGAGGGUGCGCCGGAAACUGGAGUGCUCGAGCGUGGGAGAGGAAAGCGGAAUUCCUGGUGUAGCGGUGAAAUGCGUAGAUAUCAGGAGGAACACCUGCGGUGUAGACGGCUUUCUGGAUCAUUGCUGACGCUGAGACACGAAAGCGUGGGUAGCAAACAGG